rnacentral:rRNA from 1 species
GCCAACGACCACUCCACGUUGAAAAGCACCAGUUCUCGUCCGAUCACUGAAGUUAAGCACGUCGGGCCCGGUAGUACUUGGAUGGGUGUACCCGCCUGGAACCCGGGUGCUUGGUUGGUA